AUAAAUAUCUGAGUGGCCAAUAAGCACAGGAAAAGAUACUUGGGGGAAAUGCAUAUUACAACUCCAAUGAGAUAUACACCCAAUGGGAUGGCCAAAAUUUAAAAGACAAUUUGGUGGGCAGAAUAAUGGUCCCCAGAGAUGUCCACAUCCUAACCCCCAGAACCUUACACAGCAAAAGGGACUCUGCAGAUGUGAUUCGAGUUAAGGGCCUUGAGUUGGGGAGAGGAUCCUGGAUCAUCCAGUGGGCCCAGGUUAACCCCAUGGGUCCUUACAACUGCAGCACCUGACCAGGCUGUGGUCAGAGGGAGGUGGAAGGAUGGAGGGACAGCCGCAUAUGCAAGGUUGCUGGCUUUGAAGAUGGUAGAAUAAGGCCACAAGCCAAAAAAUGUGGACAGGCCCUAGAGUCUAGGAAAUGCAAGGACAUGGGUUCACCUCAAGCCUCCAGAAAGGAGGGCUCUGCUGACACUGGUUCCAGCCCAUGCUGGACUUCUAACCCACAGAUCUGCAAGACAAUACAUUUGUGUGAAGCCACCAAGUUUGUGGUCAAUUGUUACAGCAGCCCUGGGACAUUAAUACAACAAUAUCAGCAUGAGCGAGGACGCGCAGCUGCUGGAACUCCACCCUGUGACUGGAGUGCAACACGGCACAAUCGCUUUGGAAAGGCGGUGCCUGAGAACCUUAAAUACAUAACUGCUCUGUGACCUGGCAGUUGCACUCAGGUAUACCCCCAGGAGGCCUGAAUGCCUCUGUCCACAGAUAGAGACCUGCGCAGCCUACACACACGUUUACUGUAGCUUUCUUCUUGGCAGCCAGGAGGCCCACCACUCAAACCUCCCUUCAAGCAAGGACCUCCCAGGAGUUGCCGCUGAGCUGACAGCCCUGUGGAGUACUGCUGGGAUCUGCGCAGCACUUGGGCAGCCCGUGCUCUCCCUGGCCGGGGCCUAGGGUCUGGCCUUCACAACCCAACACAAGGCUAGAAUGUCCCGCUGCGCUGGCCAACGCUCCCAGAGCUGCGUCGUCCUCACCUGUAGUUCUGGCAACCUUCCCUGCCCGGCCUCCUCACUCUCCUGGUUUCUUUCAAGGUCUUCUCUCUCAUAAAUCUCAUACUUCUAACUCUCUCGGCAUCUUACAAAAAUCUAAAGGGUCAUCAACAGGUAAGUGGACACACUGUGGUACAUUCACAGAAUGGAAUACUACCCAGCCAGAAGCAGCAAAAACCACGAAACAUGUAACCUGGGUGAAUCUCAAAACAUGAGUAAAAGACACCAGGCUCAAGGGAACACAUACUGUGAGAUUCUAGUUACAUGACAUUCUAAAACAAAAUGCAUCUAUAGUGAAAGAAGGGAUAACGGGUUGCCUCUGGUGGAAGGGAAAUUAACCAGAAAGUGGCACUAAGGAACUUCCUGCAGUGCUGGGGCAUUCUGCAUCUUGGGGCAUGUACGUAAGUGUACAGGUAUAUAACAACGGCCAGUACCCAUCCAGUUGCACGUGCUACUUGGGUGUGCCAUUACCAGCAAACUGAAGUAAAUUGCACCUCAAUAGUUGGUUUUAAAAACACAAGCAAAGCUCACAUGCACAAACUGCCACAGGGCCACCCUUCCAACCUUGCCUGUUGUCCUGUUUCUCACAGUACUAAUCUUCUCUUUUUUUUAUUAGACAGUGUCUCACUCUGUUGCCCAGGCUGGCGUGCAGUGGUGCGAUCUUGGCUCACUGCAACCUCUGCCUCCCAGGCUCAAGCAAUCCUGCCUCAGCCCCCCAAGUAGCUGGGACCACAGGCAUAUGCCACCACACUGGCUAAAUGUUUUUUGUAGAGAUGGGGUUUUAUCAUGUUGCCCAUGUUGGUCUCGAACUCCUGAGCUCAAGAGAUCCACCAUCUUCAGCCUCCCAAAGUACUGGGAUUACAGGUGUGAGCCACUGUGCCACCAGGCCCACAGCACUAAUCUUUU
rnacentral:lncRNA from 10 species